rnacentral:rRNA from 1 species
AUUGAACGCUGGCGGCAGGCCUAACACAUGCAAGUCGAACGAGGGGCGGACGGGCGAGUAAUGUCUGGGAAACUGCCUGAUGGAGGGGGAUAACUACUGGAAAAGGUAGCAAAUACCGCAAACCACCAGAUGUGCCCAGGUGGGAUUCGCGUGUUGGUGGGGGAACGGCUCACCAAGGCGACGAUCCCUAGCUGGUCUGAGAGGAUGACCAGCCACACUGGAACUGAGACACGGUCCAGACUCCUACGGUAGGCAGCAGUGGGGAAUAUUGCACAAUGGGCGCAAGCCUGAUGCAGCCAUGCCGCGUGUAUGAAGAAGGCCUUCGGGUUGUAAAGUACUUUCAGCGGGGAGGCGUUACCCGCAGAAGAAGCACCGGCUAACUCCGUGCCAGCAGCCGCGGUAAUAC